UUUUGGUGAGGUGCCUUCCGAGUUCCCUGGAACGGGACGCCACAGAGGGUGAGAGCCCCGUCUGGUUGGACACCGAGCCUCUGUAAAGCUCCUUCGACGAGUCGAGUAGUUUGGGAAUGCUGCUCUAAAUGGGAGGUAUAUGUCUUCUAAAGCUAAAUACCGGCCAGAGACCGAUAGCGCACAAGUAGAGUGAUCGAAAGAUGAAAAGAACUUUGAAAAGAGAGUUAAACAGUACGUGAAAUUGUUGAAAGGGAAGCGCUUGUGACCAGACUUGGGCUUGGUUGAUCAUCCGGGGUUCUCCCCGGUGCACUCUUCCGGCUCAGGCCAGCAUCAGUUCGCCCUGGGGGAUAAAGGCAGCGGGAAUGUGGCUCUCUCCGGGGAGUGUUAUAGCCCGCUGCGUAAUACCCUGUGG
rnacentral:rRNA from 1 species